UACGUAGGGUGCAAGCGUUAAUCGGAAUUACUGGGCGUAAAGCGUGCGCAGGCGGUUGUGCAAGACCGAUGUGAAAUCCCCGGGCUUAACCUGGGAAUGGCAUUGGUGACUGCACGGCUAGAGUGUGUCAGAGGGGGGUAGAAUUCCACGUGUAGCAGUGAAAUGCGUAGAUAUGUGGAGGAACACCGAUGGCGAAGGCAGCCCCCUGGGUCAAGACUGACGCUCAUGCACGAAAGCGUGGGGAGCAAACAGG
rnacentral:rRNA from 1 species